UACGUAGGGAGCAAGCGUUGUCCGGAAUCACUGGGCGUAAAGGGCGCGUAGGUGGCCUGGUAAGUAGGGGGUGAAAUCUCGCGGCUCAACUGCGAGGCUGCCUCCUAAACUGUCAGGCUCGAGCAGAGUAGAGGCAGGUGGAAUUCCCGGUGUAGCGGUGGAAUGCGUAGAGAUCGGGAAGAACAUCGGUGGCGAAGGCGGCCUGCUGGGCUCUUGCUGACACUGAGGCGCGACAGCGUGGGGAGCAAACAGG
rnacentral:rRNA from 1 species